AAAAAGACAAACCGUGGGUUCCCGUGCCAACGUUUGACUGUCCGUCUUAUAUGAAAUUUUUUUAUAAUUAAUAUUUUUAUUGUUGUUAGAUGAUAAAACAUGAUUAAUACUUUAUGCAUGACUUAUCUUUUUAUUUUUUUUCAUAAUUUUUUCAAAUAAGACGGACGGUCAAACGUUGGACAUGGAAAUCAGGGUUUGUCUUUUU
rnacentral:pre_miRNA from 1 species